rnacentral:rRNA from 1 species
AGAAUCAACGCUGGCGGCGUGCCUAACACAUGCAAGUCGAACGAGAAAGUGGAGCAAUCCAUGAGUAAAGUGGCGCACGGGUGAGUAACACGUGACUAACCUACCCUUGAGUGGGGAAUAACUGAGGGAAACCUCGGCUAAUACCGCAUAAUACCUACGGGUCAAAGGAGCAAUUCGCUUAAGGAGGGGGUCGCGGCAGAUUAGUUAGUUGGCGGGGUAAUGGCCCACCAAGACGGUGAUCUGUAUCCGGCCUGAGAGGGCGCACGGACACACUGGAACUGAAACACGGUCCAGACUCCUACGGGAGGCAGCAGUGGGAAUUUUGCGCAAUGGGGGAAACCCUGACGCAGCAACGCCGCGUGGAGGAUGAAGACCCUUGGGUCGUAAACUCCUUUCGAUCGGGACGAUUAUGACGGUACCGGAAGAAGAAGCCCCGGCUAACUUCGCGCCAGCAGCCGC